AUGGUCAUCUCCUUCGUGUUCUUCGAUAUCUUCGGGGCACGAUUUCUCACCGUCUAUUCUUUCCUUGCUCCAGUUCUUUGCAGCUUCAGGCCUAUUCGGAUGCUACGCGGGCUAGUGAUCCUUCUGAUCGCCGUUCACUUUCUGCUUACUGUGUUUUUCUUGGCGGUUCUCUCAUUGCCUGGAAGACGAAGAAACAGAUUGCAGUUUCCCGUUCGUGUGCAGAGGCUGAGUUGCGAGCAAUGGCUCUUUUGA
rnacentral:rRNA from 1 species